rnacentral:rRNA from 1 species
AACGAACGCUGGCGGCGUGCCUAACACAUGCAAGUCGUGCGAGAAAGUUCCUUCGGGAGCGAGUAAAGCGGCGCACGGGUGAGUAACACGUAGGUAACCUGCCCCCCAGUCUGGAACAACUAGAGGAAACUCUAGCUAAUGCCGGAUGAGACCACGAUCCCUUCGGGGGUUGCGGCCAAAGAUGGCCUCUACUUGUAAGCUAUCGCUGAGGGAUGGGCCUGCGGGCCAUUAGCUUGUUGGUGAGGUAACGGCUCACCAAGGCUGUGAUGGCUAGCUGGUCUGAGAGGAUGACCAGCCACACUGGGACUGAGACACGGCCCAGACUCCUACGGGAGGCAGCAGUGGGGAAUAUUGCGCAAUGGGCGAAAGCCUGACGCAGCGACGCAGCGUGGGUGAUGAAGGCCU